GCCGAAGUGGCGGAAUCGGCAGACGCAGAUGACUCAAAAUCAUCCGAUCGCGAGAUCAUGGGGGUUCGAGUCCCCCCUUCGGCACCA
rnacentral:tRNA from 1 species